AUAUAUAUUCUGUAGUCAUCUAAGUCAAUCAAACAGUAAAUCAAACAGUGUAGCAGUUGACAAUAUAACUGUGUCAUUAUGUUUGUCUGUGUUUCUUAGCUGCCGAGCCAUCGGAUCAGGAGGUGCUGUCUAUCUGCGUGGGUUUUGACCAAGCAUUAACAGGAUACACUUUAAAGUGGUAAGCAGUUCCUACUGCUCCCACCCCCACCGCACCCCCUGCUGUGCUAGCUCCUACUGCUCCCACUCCCACCGCGCCCCCUGCUGUGCUAGCUCCUACUGCCCCUCCUCAGCUCCAGUCAGCCUCCCAGCCAACAGCUGGACCACUACAGCCUGCUGCUGACGCUCAGGUGCUUCUCCCUGAGGGAUGGAAGCAGACCCUCCCAAAGGAGCAGCAAGAGUGGGUCAGUCGGGCCAUUUUCAUCAGGAACAAGCAGCUCAAAUGUGUCCUGAAAAGCCAGCUUGAGCUGUGGUACUUCCCUCCUCUGCCUCCUAACAUCAGCCAUCAGCCUCCAGCUUCUCCCUCCGCCUACUUCCUCCGGCCAUUCUGCCUCUGGAUGCCCUACCGCCUGUGGGCCUUUAAGUUUGUGUGCACCCAGCCACGGUGCAAGCGUCAAAAGCUCACAGGCUGUGGGGUGUACAAGACAGU